rnacentral:rRNA from 1 species
UUUUCGCAAUGCCCGAAAGGGUGACGAAGCGACGCCGCGUGGGUGAGGAAGGCCUUCGGGUUGUAAAGCCCUGUCAGGAGUUAAGAAAUGUAGGUUCGCUAAUAUCGUGCCUAUUUGACAAAGGCUCCAAAGGAAGCCACGGCUAACUCUGUGCCAGCAGCCGCGGUAAUACAGAGGUGGCAAGCGUUGUUCGGAAUUAUUGGGCGUAAAGAGCACGUAGGUGGAUUUGCAAGUCAGAUGUGAAAGCCUUCUGUUCAACGGAAGAAUUGCAUCUGAAACUGCCAAUCUUGAGUGUAGGAGGGGAGAAUGGAACUUCUGGUGGAGCGGUGAAAUGCGUAGAUAUCAGAAGGAACGCCGGCGGCGAAAGCGAUUCUCUGGCCUAUUACUGACACUCAGUGUGCGAAAGCUAGGGGAGCAAACGGGAUUAGAUACCCCGGUAGUCCCAGCCGUAAACGAUGGGCACUAAGUAGAGGGGUU